rnacentral:lncRNA from 1 species
UUUUUUUUUUUAAGGUAGGAUUUAUAUUUAUUUAUUUAGUCUUUUUAGGGCUGCACCCAUGGCCUAUGGAGGUUCCCAGGCUAGGGGUUGAAUCAGAGCUAUAGCCUCCAGCCUACACAAGAGCCAUGGCAACAUGGGAUCCAAGCGGUGUCUGUGACUUACACCACAGCUCAUGGCAACACUGGAUCCUUAACCUAUUGAGUGAGGCCAGGGAUCGAACCCAUGUCCUCAUGGAUCCUAGUUAGAUUUGUUUCCAUGGAGCCAUGACAGGAAUUCCAAUAAAUCUAUUUCUUGCCGUGAUAGAUUCUGUCUCUCACUGAAUUCCUUCUGGGUGGAGGCAGGAAGAACAUGAACCUCAGUGAGUCCAGACAACAGGUGAGUGAUUCUAACUUAAAAACUGUGGGUUCAAGUCCCAGUCUGGGUUCUGGCUGGGUUCAAAUCCUAGGUGCUGUCAGUUUCACCACCAUCAGGAAUUUCCCACUGGCUCCUGUAAUGAUCUGAACCUUUUCACCCCUCCACUCUCCAUUUUUCUAGGCUUGUUAACCUCUCUCUUAGGGCCGCCCAGGAAGAAUCCAAAUCCCUCACGUUCUCUUCGCUAAAGCUGUUCAGCCACGUCCUCCUGCCUUCUGCUCUAGAUCAGGAGUUUCACUGGAGCCAGAGCCUUCCAAAGUCUCCCCCAAACAUAGAACCAUCUGCUGUGAAGUGCGAGAGGCCAUUUCCCAGGGCUGCACGGCAGGUGCAGGCAGCUCUAGAUUCAAUCAGCAGUGUCUCCUCUUCUGGCCAGAGCUGUAGAACCACAUUCACUGAGUGGCCUUAAAGAGCAUGUGCCCACACCAGUGAGCCAGCACGAUGCUGCCUUCAAUGUGAAGGGUGCUCCUGGAAGAAAAGGAUUGUGUGUCUCACAGACCCUGGAGUCAAAAAAAACCCUGCCAUCAACUCCUCUUACUAGCUGAGCAUCUGGGACAAGCCAGUUAGUGAGGAAAACUUCACUUUGCUCACCUCUAAAAACGGGCCGAUAACACUCAAGCUGCAGAGUGUUAUAAGGACCAAAUAUGAGGAGUUCCCUUGUGGCCUAGUGGUUAAGGAUCCAUGUUGUUACUGCUGGGGUGAGAGUUCAAUCCCUGGCCUGGGAAUUUUUGUCACUGAAGGUGCAGCCAAAAAGUUUUAAAAGGACUGAAUACGAGAGACAACACCCCUUUUUUUUUUUUUUAAAUUGAAGUAGAGUUGAUGUAUAAAGUUACAAGCGCACGAUAUAGUGAGUCACAAUUUUUAAAGUUUAUACUCCAUUUAUAAUUGCUAUAAAAUAUUGGCUCUAUUCCCAUAACACAGGAAUAUAUACAGCCAAUAUAUCUCUGCACCUUAUUUAAUUUACAUACAGUCGUUUGUUCCUCCUAACCUCCUACCCCUGGACUGCUCCUCCCUGCCCCUCCCUACUGGUAACAUUUGUUCUCUAGAUCUGUGAGGUUUUUGUUAUAGUCAGCAGUUUGUUUGUUUUUUAAGAUUCCACAUGUAAGUGAUAUCUUUCAGUAUUUGUCUAACUUACUUCACUUAGCAUAGUGCCCUCCAAGUUGAUUCCCGUUGCUGCAAAUGGCAACAUUUCUUUCCUUUUUAUGGCUGAGUAGUAUUCCAUCUUCCUUCUCCAUUUAUCUGUUGAUAGACCCUUAGGUUGUUUCCAUAUAUUGGUGAUUGUAAAUAAUGUUGCUGUGAACAUUGAUGUGCAUAUAUCUCUUUGAAUGAAGAUUUUCAUUUUGGGGGAAUAAAUACCCAGGAGUGGAAUGGUUGGAUCAUACAGCAGUUCCAUUUUCCGUAUUUGGAGAAACCUCCACAAUGUCUGCACCAAUUUACAUCUUCAUCACCAGUGUGUGAGAGUUCCCCUUUGUCCACAUCCUAGCCAGCACUGAGAGGAAACACACUUCUAUCUUCAGCAAACAAAGCCAUUUAUUUUGUGUGUGUGUAUCUUUUUAAGGCCACCCCCGAGGCAUGUGGUUUCCAGGCUAGGGGUCCAAUGGGAGUAGUAGCCACCGGCCUAAGCCAAAGCCAUGGCAAUGCAGGAUCCAAGCCAUGUCUUUGACCUACACCACAGCUCACGGCAAUGCCAGAUCCUUAACCCACUGAGAGAGGCCAGGGAUUGAACCCAAGUCCUCAUGGAUACUAGUCAGGUUCGUUAACGGCUGAGCCAUGACAGGAACUCCAAACAAAGCCAUUCUUGUCAUUAGCAUCACUACUUGGCAAAAACUCUUUAAUCCAUUUUUAUUUGCUUACAGCCACAUCUGCAGCACACAGACGUUCCUAGGCUAGAGGAUGAACUGGAGCUGCAGCUGCUGGCCCACACCACAGCCACAGCAACACCAGAUCCGAGCCAUCCCAAGACCUACGCCAUGGCUUGCAGCAAGCCAGAUCCUUAACCCUCUGAGCAAGUCCAGGGAUGGAACCCACAUCUUCAUGGAUACUAGUUGGGUUCUUAAUCUGCUGAGCCACAACGGGAACUCCUUUAAUGCAUUUUUUAAAAUUUCAUCUUCUCAAAACUCUACAAGAGAGGUGGACACAAGAUUCAUUAGCUCCACUAACGUGCACACGUGCGUGCACACACACGAGCGCACAUACACACACACAAAAUUAAAGGUUCCCCUGGCCAAGCUGCCCUAGCUAAUAAAUGGCUGAGCUUGGACCAGAACCAAGGUGCCCCACGUCCUCCCCAGCAGAGCAGCUCCUUGGCAUGGCUUAGAAUCCAAAGCCUCCAAGCUGACACACUGGGCGGCCAGAGGUGGGAUGGGAGGGGAGUGGACUUCCUUCUUAGGUUAACUCGAUUUUUCCAGCAACUGGGUGUGGCUGAUAUGGACACUGACCCAGACCUCAGCACAUUCCUGGGAGCCUUGCGCUGCACAGUUCUGGCUGCAUCAACUGCAGGAACAGUUACAAGCACACAGGUGCUUCCCAUCGAGGGGCCGCUUUUCUUCUCUCUGGACCAGAUGAAGUGGUGGAACAGGGUCCCUAACAAAGUCCAGAUUGAGCCUUUUCACGGGGAGUUUCCCCUUUGCUCCUAUGUUUUACCGGUUCCAGUGUUGUGCCCCACUGCCUUCCAAGGCAAGCCUAGGAGUAAACACACAGUAUGACAGUGCACAUUCAAGGGCUCCGGGAUAGAGGCCACGGGGAGAGGGGACAAGGGAGCAGAGGUGGCUUGGCCCGCGGGGCCCAUGGCCGGUUCUGGCAGUAGGGUGGGCUUGGCUCCCUGUUUGCUUGAAUCAAGUCUGGUGGUUGCAAGAAACAGAAAGUAAGUGGGAGGAGCUCACGCACAGAGGGAGUUUCAUUACGCAGCCAGGCUGUCGCGAGGUCUCCAAGUCCAGGCUACAGAGGCUCCCAGGAGGGGAUGAGAAACAGGGUUCGGCUGCACGGAACCCCCUUCUCCCCUCAUCUCUGCUCGGUCCAAGCGCUCCCACUCGCCUUUUGCUUCAUUCCAUCUUUCCUCUCACUCCUUGGAUUCUCUCAGCUUCACAAGGAAAACUGGCUGCCGACAACUCUCUCAUUUGCAUCUUGUACCCAGCAGCGGGUGGAUUCUGACCUAGUUUGGCUCAGCUCCUGCCUCUGUCUCUCGCUGGAUUGGAGCCGUCAUGCUUGAUGGCCCCCAGUCCCCCGUCUCCAUCCUGUCCCUGGUCUGGACCCCCAGCAGCCUCAACCUUUAAUAACAGGGAAGGCUCAAGAGGUCCCAAGGGUGACUCACUUGCUCAGUGUCCCUGCAAA